UACGAAGGGGGGCUAGCGUUGCUCGGAAUCACUGGGCUUAAAGGGCGCGUAGGCGGCUUCCCAAGUCCGGGGUGAAAUCUUUCGGCUUAACCGGAAAAGUGCCUUGGAUACUGGGAGGCUCGAGGGGGGUAGGGGCAAGCGGAACUUCCGGUGGAGCGGUGAAAUGCGUUGAUAUCGGAAGGAACGCCGGCGGCGAAAGCGGCUUGCUGGACCCCAUCUGACGCUGAUGCGCGAAAGCCAGGGGAGCGAACGGG
rnacentral:rRNA from 1 species